rnacentral:sRNA from 1 species
GCUGGGUGUGGGACUUGCAAGCGGAAGGAAGCAAAUAAAGGGGCCUCUUUCCUCCAGUGGAGGUGAAGACAAGCGAUUGCCUGCCUUAACCAACCUGGUACUUCUCAUUCACAUUAGUGAAUUGAGUAGUUGUUUGUUGUUGUUUUUUUUUUUUAAAUAGAUAAAGUUCUUAUUCAUGAUUGGCAUUGGAGAUUUUGAGAUCUGCCUCCUGGGAAGAACUCCAGAACACCCACAGAACAGACACGUCUAGGCAAAAAAUCAGGGAAAACCAAGCUCCAUUCUCCUGUCUUUCUUCCAGGAAAACUUCAAGGUAGCGUGACUGGAGCAUUCUCACAAAGCAGCCAAUGGAUGCGAUAUCUUUAACUCUGGAAGCUAUUUAUUCCGUUAAUGACUGUUCACUAUGCCACUGUGACCAGAGGGAAUAUUGUCUCUGCUGAAUCGAGUUGGCUCCAUUGCGAUGGAUCUUUCCCUUGUGCUCUACUUGGUUAGACGAUCUGCUGCUAAGUAAUUGGGAGAUACAUUCAGAAAUCUCCGUAACAUGGAAACUACGGCGGUUCGUCGCUGGUCUAAUUAAGGGAUGGCGAGCGUACUUUGUGCUGAUGUACCGCCACAUCCAAGGAUGCUGACGUGCCCUAGCCAAAGCGCGAAUGUCAAAAUGAGAAAACGAGUCUAAAAUAGCCCGGACUGAACUCAAACUCACUAGAUAGCUGGAGCUAACUUUGAACUUCUGUCCCCCUUUCCCUCUCUCCAAUGCCACCAUACCAACUU